CAGGAUGAACGCUAGCGGGAGGCCUAACACAUGCAAGCCGAGCGGUAUUUAUUCUUCGGAAUAGAGAGAGCGGCGUACGGGUGCGUAACACGUGUGCAACCUGCCUUUAUCAGGAGGAUAGCCCGGAGAAAUUCGGAUUAAUACUUCAUAAUAUAUUGAAUGGCAUCAUUUGAUAUUGAAAACUACGGUGGAUAAAGAUGGGCACGCGCAAGAUUAGUUAGUUGGUGAGGUAACGGCUCACCAAGACGAUGAUCUUUAGGGGGCCUGAGAGGGUGAUCCCCCACACUGGUACUGAGACACGGACCAGACUCCUACGGGAGGCAGCAGUGAGGAAUAUUGGACAAUGGGUGAGAGCCUGAUCCAGCCAUCCCGCGUGAAGGACGACGGUUCUAUGGAUUGUAAACUUCUUUUAUAUAGGGAUAAACCUUUCUACGUGUAGAAAGCUGAAGGUACUAUAUGAAUAAGCACCGGCUAACUCCGUGCCAGCAGCCGCGGUAAUACGGAGGGUGCAAGCGUUAUCCGGAUUUAUUGGGUUUAAAGGGUCCGUAGGCGGGCUUGUAAGUCAGUGGUGAAAGCCGGCAGCUCAACUGUCGAACUGCCAUUGAUACUGCAAGUCUUGAGUAAAGUAGAAGUGGCUGGAAUAAGUAGUGUAGCGGUGAAAUGCAUAGAUAUUACUUAGAACACCAAUUGCGAAGGCAGGUCA
rnacentral:rRNA from 1 species